GGCUCCAUAGUAUAGUCGUUAGCACGUCUGCUUUACACGCAGAAGGUCCUGGGUGGAGCCA
rnacentral:tRNA from 1 species